CGUUAUUUAAUUAUUUUAUUACGCGGGGGCGUGAUUCAUAAUUAUUUUAUUAAGCAGCGAAUAAUUAAUUGGCGCGAACCUAAGUUAAUACGCGAGUUAGGAGCGUUACGUGAGCGAAACCAUGCAAGUGGGCUUGAAGCCCAAUGAGCCAAGGCAAGGGAAAGGGGGGCGGUUUGUGAUGCAAGUGGGAGGAGAAGAUAUUUUCUUCUACUUGGUUGGUAAGAAAAGUCAAUAAAAGUGGAAAGGAGAUAAGAACAAGAGAAAAAUCACAAAGUUCAUUCAUCCUUCUUCUUCUCUCUUCUUUGGCCGUGGCCAUUCUUUUCCAUCCAUCACAAAUUUCAUUUCUUCACCAAAUUGAUCCAUCUUAAGCUUGUUGGAAACAUGAGAGUUCAUGGAUCAUCAUCCCUAAGCUAGGGCAAGCAAGAGAGCAAAGCAAGAGGGUGCUAGGGCUUGAGAAAGAGAGGAGCUCAUGAGAGCUAGAACAUGAGGAGCUUGAGGAUUCAUCAAAUUUCUAAGGUAAGAGAGUUAGUUUCCAUGAUUCAUGAGUGGUCAAAGAGAGGGGAGGUUAUCUAGGCCUCCAUUCCCAAACUCUCUCACUCAUUUUCUUUGGGGUUUUGGGUGAUUUUCUUCAUGAAUCAUUGAAAGGAAAAGAUCAUGAGAUGUUAUUUAUUCAUGACAUGAUUGUAUGAGGGAAUAUGUNNNNNNNNNNNNNNNNNNNNNNNNNNNNNNNNNNNNNNNNNNNNNNNNNNNNNNNNNNNNNNNNNNNNNNNUUUGCCUAAGCCCUAGAUUGGCCUUAGCCAAGCUCAAUGAUUUGCAAAGUGUUGAUGAGUUUUGCAAAAUGUUCAUGAAUUUCUUUGAAUAAUAAGCAAUGAAUGAUGUAUUGAUGUUUAAAUGGACUUUUUUAAGUGUUUUGAGUAUGUAUAUAUGUGUGAUGGAGUUUAGAAUAUGAAAAAUGGUUUAUGUGAGAGUCUUGAGAGUUUAGAGUUUGAAAUGAGAAAUGUAGAAAAUUGUUAUCUAUGAGGUCUGAACCUUUACGUGCAUUUUUGACCUCUUUUCGUUGUGAACUGGUUUUAGUGGACAACAUAAAAGUUGUAGCCCUGUUUGUUAGCUUUCCAACGAGUAUAUGUGCGUCUCCAUUGGACUUUCGUAGCCCAAGUUAUGAUCGUUGCAAUGAGAGGCUGUCCUGCAGAAAUCCUGCACAAUUUGUCUGUGGCGCACCAUUUUAGAGGAGUGGUGCCCAGGCGCCCAGAGAAGUCUAGAAAUGCCAUUUUGACUCUGUUUUGUGACGAAGGCUGGCGCCCCAGCGCAGGCACUGUUCACAGGAUUGAAAAUGUUGACUUUUGGUUGACUUUUGAGGGUUUUCGACCCCGAAACCUAUUUUACUCAGUUUUUCGUGUAGAUUCCGAUUCCGGUGUUUGUUUUAUGAGUUGAGGCAUGCUUAAUGUAGUUGUUAUAUAUUAAUUGCAU
rnacentral:lncRNA from 1 species